AACUGUCCAACCCAAGCCCAAUCUCCCUACCCAAAUACCCAUUACCCUUUACCCUAUCCUUACAUAUAAAAAGAUAAUUUAGAGGAGGAGAUCAUAGACCCUUCCCUUCAGGAGCGCAGCUUUUCCCCUGUCCUUCAUCUUAAUACACAGACCCUCCCAUUUUCCAUAACCGAGCAGCACCCCUAACCCUUUUCUUCUUCAACAACAAAAGAACGAACACCCCCUUUCCCUUUCGUCUCACUCUCAGCAAAGAAACAAAAGUACACAUUCAUACACACAAUUUUCACCUUUUCUUAAAUCUGCAAUAGCAAAAAUCUUCAAAAUAAAAGAAGUAAAGUAGUAUAGGAAGAAAUCUCUGAAGUGUUGGAAGCUACUGCCGAUUUUUGUUGUGUUUGGUUUGGUGAUUUUCGGAUUUUUGAGCUGAUAUUUGGUUGGGAUUGUCGCUGUGUUUUUCGUUGAUUCUGGCUGGUUUCGAUGAGCUCUGCACCAGUUUUUCUUUGCCUUUGUUUGAUUCAUAUUUUCUCUUGUUUCGCUGCGGUCCAAGUAUCGUUGCCUUCGAAUCUGUAUUUCAGCCUAAUAGGUGAAUUUUUGGAAUUAUUGGGAUUGGCUACUAGCUCUUCUUCAUUUAAUUGCUUUGAUAAGUGUUUAAAUCUGAAUAUUUGAUUUUUGAUUGUCCGCUAAGUAUCUGUUGGUUUUCUUUGGAAUCGUCCUCUCUUUAGACUAAAGAAACGUUUAUAUCAGAUGUUUGGAUCAAAUGUGUAUAAUUGCUAAUUUUUUUUUUACGAAUUCCUUCUUUGUUAAGCUUUGGAAUUUUCAGUAGGUUGAAAUCAGAUAUUGGAGUUGCUAGAUGUUAAGGGAUAAUUUGGUGUUUGUUGUUGGUAAUCAAUCAUUGUUAGAAUUUCAUUUGCAAUGCCACAAAUCUAUCGUUUAAGUGGUUGAAGAAUUGAAUGUGUUCAUUUGAAAUGGGUUCUGAAACUGAAAUAUGUGCUUUAGCUAUGAUAAGCUAUUUUGUUUAUUCUGCAUUCCUUUUUAUCUGUUCUUAUAAGAUGGUUUGUAAUUUCAGCAUAUGUGUUUUAGAAUUGUUCAGGCCAGAACUGUAAAGUGGAUGACUAUUCACAUGGGUUUAUCUUUGUAAGGAACUCAUUUGAGCUUAAAGUAUCAAUUAUAUGUCUGUAUUUCGUUUGAUCCAUUUCAGACGUUAGGACCAUUUUGAAAGUUCACUAAAUGAAAAAUGUUAGAAUAAGAUUAUUUAAUCCCCCCCAAAAAAAAUUCAUCUCACACUUUUGUUUCAGUAGCCUCUUUGUUAAUUAAUUUCACGUUGACUUAACUUAAUAACAAUGAAGUUAUUCUCAAAGCCCAAAUUCGGUUCCCGUGAUAUAGUCGUGAUACCUAAUCCAAAUUCGGGGUGCAUUUCAUGUUGCCCGAUCAUGAUAACUUUGAAUAAUAGAACCCUUUGAAGUAAUUUGAGGCGUGCCAUGCUAAAUAAAAUCUCAAAACGCAUGACCCUCAUUUAAUUAACUUUAAUCAUUUAGAAAUCGAGGUGUGUCAUUUAGUUGAAUUUUCCAUGGCCCUCGCAAACUUGAAAGUGUGUAAUUGCUUUAGGCGCGCUAUUUAAAUUAAUUUCCUUAAACUUGGGUGUGCAUUUCAUGUGACUCAACUCCAAUUCUCAACAACGCUAAAUAAAAUAUGUCGUGGACCGCGGGUGCAUUUCAUGUGGUGUGUUCAAGGCGUAUUUUAAAUAACGUUGAAUUUUCCUAAAAAUAAUUUAAAAGCGGUUAAUAAGUUAAAAUUGUACCAUAGGUUAAAACAUGUAUUAAAAUCAGAUAAUAGGCCAAUUAUUACAGUUGAGCGACCGUGCUAGAACCACGGAACUCGAGAAUGCUUAACACCUUCUUCAGGGUUAACAGAAUUCCUUACCUGGAUUUCUGUGUUCGCGGACUGUAAAACAGAGUCAAUCUUUUCCCCGAUUCGAGAUUUGAACCGGUGACUUGGGACACCACAAAUUAUCCCAAGUGGUGACUCUGAAUUUUAAUAAAUAUAAUCCCAUUGUCACUUUAAGUUGGAAAAAACUCCCUUAUAUACCCCUUUACAGGGGUGUAGGUAAAAAGGAGGUGUGACAGCUCUGGCGACUCUGCUGGGGAUAAGAACCCAGAACUUCUAGUUCAGGGUACAGAAUUCGAGCUUAGAAUAAUUGUUAUAUUUUGCUUUAUUUAUUAUAUAAUUUUAUUCACAUGUUUGGGCCUAAUGUGCUAAAUGUCACUUUUUACCGCUUUGAUACUAUUUGAAUUGCAUAUAAAUUGUUACAAAACCUUCUUCUCUCUGAGUCUUCUAAAUCAUGGAGAAGUGUGCACUUCGUGUGACUUCUCUUCUAUUAGAGUCAUAUCCCAAAUUUUAGAAUGAGGUUCGGACAAGUUGCAAAGCCGGUGAAGAUUCUGUAUUCCCGGUAUGCUGCCCCCCCCCCGGCUCGAGCUAUCCGUUCGGGUAAGCCUGGUCUAGAACAAAUAAACCCAGAUUUUAAACCUAGAAUAACUCAGCCUCAUGCCAGAUCCCUAGUAGGAACGUUUGUUUGCAUCAUGUGCACUUGACUUAGGGGACUCAACACAGGGGUUGGGUCCGUCUAGGAUAGGUGUACCCAAAAUAACAGACCAUCUUGAUGCAUCCUAUGUGCUACAUGUUGCAUUUAUUCAAGGGUAAAAGGUCAUUUGGCGGACCAAUUAUAGUUGAGGGCAAAUGAAAAAAUGAAAAAAAAAAGAAAAAAAGAAAAAGAGAGGGUGAAGUGUGAAGAUAAAGCGAGUGGGGCCUAANNNNNNNNNNNNNNNNNNNUCUUUUGUUUUUGCAUUUGGAAAUGUGUUACAAGUCAAAAAAUCCAAAAAAAGAAAGAAAUUUUGCGUUUUUAUAUUUUCGUUAUAAGUUUUCUUUAGAAUACUAAUUCUAGAAAUGAAAAAAAAAAUUCCUUUGAGAUUGUUUUUCCUUUAGGCAAUUAAUAUCAAAAAUAGAAAUUAUUUUUAUAUUUUCUUUACUACAUUGGGACCAAAAUUCAAAAGAAAAAAAAGAGAAUUUUCUUUUAGUACCUCUUUAAAAGUUUUCUUUAAGGUAUUAAUUCUAAAAUCCAAAAGAUUUUCUUUUGAGGCAUUUCUUUGGGAAAUUAGUGAAAAAUGGGAUUUUUUUUUAUUUUCACUAGAAUUUUAGGUUAUUGUACAUAAAAAAAUAUACUUUGUAUUUUGUUUAUCAUUAGAAUUUUCCUUUAGGCAAUCAAAAUUGAAAUCCAAAAACAUUUGGUUUUAUUUUGUUUAUUGCUUGUUUCGAAAUCUUGCGUCAGGAUAUCAAAUGAAAAUUCAAAUACUUUGCUGUGGUUUAUUCUUUAGAUUUUCUUUCUAAAAAAAGAAUCAAAAAAGGGUUUUUCUCUUCUAGGAUUUUCCUUAAUAGAGUAUUUGUUUCAAAAAGAAAAAAAAACAUGCUCGUUAAGCUUGAGUUUAGAAUAGGUUAUAGAGCAUUCAGUCUAGGAAAUUCAAAAAAAAAUUGCUUCUUUUAUUUCUCUUUUCUCAUCGGAGUAGUCACUAAGGUAAAAAGGAAAAAAAGAAGAAGAAAAUGAAAAAGGAAACGUUAGUUUAUGUGCUUUACUCUCGAUCUUCCAGAAAUACGCAAAGAUUUGAUUCA
rnacentral:lncRNA from 1 species